rnacentral:rRNA from 1 species
GACGAACGCUGGCGGCGUGCCUAAUACAUGCAAGUAGAACGCUGAAGGAGGAGCUUGCUUCUCCGGACGAUUUGCGAACGGGUGAGUAACGCGUAGGUAACCUGCCUGGUAGCGGGGGAUAACUCUUGGAAACGAUAGCUAAUACCGCAUAUGAGUAGAUGUCGCAUGACAUUUGCUUAAAAGGUGCAACUGUACCACUACCAGAUGGACCUGCGUUGUAUUAGGUAGUUGGUGAGGUAAAGGCUCAAUAAGGCAACGAAACAUAGCCGGCCUGGGAGGGGGAUCAGCCACACUGGGACUGGGAAACGGCCCAAGCUCCUUAGGGGGGGAACAGGAGGGGAACUUCGGGAAUGGGCGGAAGGCUGGACGGGGAACGCCGGGGGGGGGAAGGAAGUUUUCGGGUCGGAAAGCUCUGUUGUAAGGGAAGAACGAGAGGGGGAGUGGAAAGUUCACGCUGUGACGGUACCUUAUCAGAAAGCGACGGCUAACUACGUG